rnacentral:rRNA from 1 species
AGCGUACACGGUGGAUGCCCUGGCAGUCAGAGGCGAUGAAGGACGUGCUAAUCUGCGAUAAGCGUCGGUAAGGUGAUAUGAACCGUUAUAACCGGCGAUUUCCGAAUGGGGAAACCCAGUGUGAUUCGUCACACUAUCAUUAACUGAAUCCAUAGGUUAAUGAGGCGAACCGGGGGAACUGAAACAUCUAAGUACCCCGAGGAAAAGAAAUCAACCGAGAUUCCCCCAGUAGCGGCGAGCGAACGGGGAGCAGCCCAGAGCCUGAAUCAGUGUGUGUGUUAGUGGAAGCGUCUGGAAAGGCGCGCGAUACAGGGUGACAGCCCCGUACACAAAAAUGCACAUGCUGUGAGCUCGAUGAGUAGGGCGGGACACGUGGUAUCCUGUCUGAAUAUGGGGGGACCAUCCUCCAAGGCUAAAUACUCCUGACUGACCGAUAGUGAACCAGUACCGUGAGGGAAAGGCGAAAAGAACCCCGGCGAGGGGAGUGAAAAAGAACCUGAAACCGUGUACGUACAAGCAGUGGGAGCACGCUUAGGCGUGUGACUGCGUACCUUUUGUAUAAUGGGUCAGCGACUUAUAUUCUGUAGCAAGGUUAACCGAAUAGGGGAGCCGAAGGGAAACCGAGUCUUAACUGGGCGUUAAGUUGCAGGGUAUAGACCCGAAACCCGGUGAUCUAGCCAUGGGCAGGUUGAAGGUUGGGUAACACUAACUGGAGGACCGAACCGACUAAUGUUGAAAAAUUAGCGGAUGACUUGUGGCUGGGGGUGAAAGGCCAAUCAAACCGGGAGAUAGCUGGUUCUCCCCGAAAGCUAUUUAGGUAGCGCCUCGUGAAUUCAUCUCCGGGGGUAGAGCACUGUUUCGGCAAGGGGGUCAUCCCGACUUACCAACCCGAUGCAAACUGCGAAUACCGGAGAAUGUUAUCACGGGAGACACACGGCGGGUGCUAACGUCCGUCGUGAAGAGGGAAACAACCCAGACCGCCAGCUAAGGUCCCAAAGUCAUGGUUAAGUGGGAAACGAUGUGGGAAGGCCCAGACAGCCAGGAUGUUGGCUUAGAAGCAGCCAUCAUUUAAAGAAAGCGUAAUAGCUCACUGGUCGAGUCGGCCUGCGCGGAAGAUGUAACGGGGCUAAACCAUGCACCGAAGCUGCGGCAGCGACGCUGAUGCGUUGUUGGGUAGGGGAGCGUUCUGUAAGCCUGCGAAGGUGUGCUGUGAGGCAUGCUGGAGGUAUCAGAAGUGCGAAUGCUGACAUAAGUAACGAUAAAGCGGGUGAAAAGCCCGCUCGCCGGAAGACCAAGGGUUCCUGUCCAACGUUAAUCGGGGCAGGGUGAGUCGACCCCUAAGGCGAGGCCGAAAGGCGUAGUCGAUGGGAAACAGGUUAAUAUUCCUGUACUUGGUGUUACUGCGAAGGGGGGACGGAGAAGGCUAUGUUGGCCGGGCGACGGUUGUCCCGGUUUAAGCGUGUAGGCUGGUUUUCCAGGCAAAUCCGGAAAAUCAAGGCUGAGGCGUGAUGACGAGGCACUACGGUGCUGAAGCAACAAAUGCCCUGCUUCCAGGAAAAGCCUCUAAGCAUCAGGUAACAUCAAAUCGUACCCCAAACCGACACAGGUGGUCAGGUAGAGAAUACCAAGGCGCUUGAGAGAACUCGGGUGAAGGAACUAGGCAAAAUGGUGCCGUAACUUCGGGAGAAGGCACGCUGAUAUGUAGGUGAAGUCCCUCGCGGAUGGAGCUGAAAUCAGUCGAAGAUACCAGCUGGCUGCAACUGUUUAUUAAAAACACAGCACUGUGCAAACACGAAAGUGGACGUAUACGGUGUGACGCCUGCCCGGUGCCGGAAGGUUAAUUGAUGGGGUCAGCGCAAGCGAAGCUCUUGAUCGAAGCCCCGGUAAACGGCGGCCGUAACUAUAACGGUCCUAAGGUAGCGAAAUUCCUUGUCGGGUAAGUUCCGACCUGCACGAAUGGCGUAAUGAUGGCCAGGCUGUCUCCACCCGAGACUCAGUGAAAUUGAACUCGCUGUGAAGAUGCAGUGUACCCGCGGCAAGACGGAAAGACCCCGUGAACCUUUACUAUAGCUUGACACUGAACAUUGAGCCUUGAUGUGUAGGAUAGGUGGGAGGCUUUGAAGUGUGGACGCCAGUCUGCAUGGAGCCGACCUUGAAAUACCACCCUUUAAUGUUUGAUGUUCUAACGUGGACCCGUAAUCCGGGUUGCGGACAGUGUCUGGUGGGUAGUUUGACUGGGGCGGUCUCCUCCUAAAGAGUAACGGAGGAGCACGAAGGUUGGCUAAUCCUGGUCGGACAUCAGGAGGUUAGUGCAAUGGCAUAAGCCAGCUUGACUGCGAGCGUGACGGCGCGAGCAGGUGCGAAAGCAGGUCAUAGUGAUCCGGUGGUUCUGAAUGGAAGGGCCAUCGCUCAACGGAUAAAAGGUACUCCGGGGAUAACAGGCUGAUACCGCCCAAGAGUUCAUAUCGACGGCGGUGUUUGGCACCUCGAUGUCGGCUCAUCACAUCCUGGGGCUGAAGUAGGUCCCAAGGGUAUGGCUGUUCGCCAUUUAAAGUGGUACGCGAGCUGGGUUUAGAACGUCGUGAGACAGUUCGGUCCCUAUCUGCCGUGGGCGCUGGAGAACUGAGGGGGGCUGCUCCUAGUACGAGAGGACCGGAGUGGACGCAUCACUGGUGUUCGGGUUGUCAUGCCAAUGGCACUGCCCGGUAGCUAAAUGCGGAAGAGAUAAGUGCUGAAAGCAUCUAAGCACGAAACUUGCCCCGAGAUGAGUUCUCCCUGACUCCUUGA